UAUAAUCCGUGCCCAGCAGGUGCUCGGCGUCACGCCGGGUGAAACGGGAAGCCGGUGCAAGACCGGCGCUGCCCCCGCAACGGUAAGGUCCGGCGAGUUCGCUCGCCAGGCGCCGCGAACGCCACUGUCGCAAGACGGGAAGGCGCGGCGCUGACGGACCGAGCCCGGAGACCGGCCUGCGCAGCGGCGCCGCC
rnacentral:ncRNA from 1 species